rnacentral:rRNA from 1 species
GCUGGCGGCACGCCUAACACAUGCAAGUCGAACGAAGUAGCAAUACUUAGUGGCAGACGGGUGAGUAACAUGUAGGUAUCUGCCCUUUGGCCUGGAAUAACACGAGGAAACUUGUGCUAAUACCGGAUAAGUCUUUACGGAGAAAGCUUUAUGCACCAUUGGAUGAGCCUGCACUUGAUUAGUUUGUUGGUGGGGUAAUGGCCUACCAAGACUGUGAUCAAUAGCUGAUUUGAGAGGAUGAUCAGCCACAUUGGGACUGAGACACGGCCCAAACUCCUACGGGAGGCAGCAGUGGGGAAUCUUGCACAAUGGAGGAAACUCUGAUGCAGCGAUGCCGCGUGAGUGAAGAAGGCCCUUGGGUUGUAAAGCUCUUUCGUCGGGGAAGAAAAUGACUGUACCCGAAUAAGAAGGUCCGGCUAACUUCGUGCCAGCAGCCGCGGUAAUACGAAGGGACCUAGCGUAGUUCGGAAUUACUGGGCUUAAAGAGUUCGUAGGUGGUUGAAAAAGUUAGUGGUGAAAUCCCAGAGCUUAACUCUGGAACUGCCAUUAAAACUUUUCAGCUAGAGU